UACGUAGGCAGCAAGCGUUGUUCGGAGUUACUGGCGUAAAGGGUGCGUAGGUGGCUCUAUAAGUAUGGUGUGAAAUCUCCCGGCUUAACUGGGAGGGUGCGCCGUAGACUGUGGGGCUAGAGUGUGGGAGAGGAAAGUGGAAUUCCUGGUGUAGCGGUGAAAUGCGUAGAUAUCAGGAGGAACACCGGUGGUGUAAACGGCUUUCUGGACCAUAACUGACCACUGAGGCACGAAAGCGUGGGUAGCAA
rnacentral:rRNA from 1 species